rnacentral:rRNA from 1 species
AGUGAGGAAUUUUCUGCAAUGGGCGAAAGCCUGACAGAGCAAUACCGCGUGAGGGAUGAAGGCCUAUGGGUUGUAAACCUCUUUUCUCAAGGAGGAAGAUAUGACGUUACUUGAGGAAUAAGCAUCGGCUAACCCUGUGCCAGCAGCCGCGGUAAUACAGGGGAUGCAAGUGUUAUCCGGAAUCAUUGGGCGUAAAGCGUCUGCAGGUUGACUUCUAAGUCUUUUGUUAAAGCUCUGGGCUUAACCUGGAAUACGCAAAGGAAACUAUCUGUCUUGAGUAUGGUAGAGGUAAAGGGAAUUUCCAGUGGAGCGGUGAAAUGCUUAGAUAUUGGAAAGAACACCAACAGCGAAGGCACUUUACUGGGCCAGUACUGACACUGAGAGACGAAAGCUAGGGGAGCAAACGGGAUUAGAUACCCCGGUAGUCCUAGCUGUAAACGAUGGAUACUAGAUGUUGUGCUUAAGAAAAAGUACAGUGUCGUAGCUAACGCGUUAAGUAUCCCGCCUGGGAAGUAUGCUCGCAAGAGUG